rnacentral:rRNA from 1 species
GUGCCUAAUACAUGCAAGUCGAGCCCAGUUCAUCGAGAGCUUGCUUUGGAUGAACUUAGCGGCGGACGGGUGAGUAACACGUAGGCAACCUGCCCGUAAGACCGGGAUAACUACCGGAAACGGUAGCUAAUACCGGAUACGCAAGUUUCUCGCAUGAGGGGCUUGGGAAAGGCGGAGCAAUCUGUCACUUACGGAUGGGCCUGCGGCGCAUUAGCUAGUAGGUAGGGUAACGGCCUACCUAGGCGACGAUGCGUAGCCGACCUGAGAGGGUGAACGGCCACACUGGGACUGAGACACGGCCCAGACUCCUACGGGAGGCAGCA